rnacentral:rRNA from 1 species
GACGAACGCUGGCGGCGUGCCUAAUACAUGCAAGUUGAGCGCUGAAGGUUGGUACUUGUACCAACUGGAUGAGCAGCGAACGGGUGAGUAACGCGUGGGGAAUCUGCCUUUGAGCGGGGGACAACAUUUGGAAAUGAAUGCUAAUACCGCAUAAAAACUUUAAACACAAGUUUUAAGUUUGAAAGAUGCAAUUGCAUCACUCAAAGAUGAUCCCGCGUUGUAUUAGCUAGUUGGUGAGGUAAAGGCUCACCAAGGCGAUGAUACAUAGCCGACCUGAGAGGGUGAUCGGCCACAUUGGGACUGAGACACGGCCCAAACUCCUACGGGAGGCAGCAGUAGGGAAUCUUCGGCAAUAGACGAAAGUCUGACCGAGCAACGCCGCGUGAGUGAAGAAGGUUUUCGGAUCGUAAAACUCUGUUGGUAGAGAAGAACGUUGGUGAGAGUGGAAAGCUCAUCAAGUGACGGUAACUACCCAGAAAGGGACGGCUAACUACGUG